rnacentral:rRNA from 1 species
UACGAAGGGGGCUAGCGUUGCUCGGAAUCACUGGGCGUAAAGGGUGCGUAGGCGGGUUUUAAGUCAGAGGUGAAAUCCUGGAGCUCAACUCCAGAACUGCCUUUGAUACUGAAAGUCUGAGUGAUGGGAGAGGUGAGUGAACUGCGAGUGUAGAGGUGAAAUUCGUAGAUAUUCGCAAGAACACCAGUGGCGAAGGCGGCUCACUGGCCCAUAACUGACGCUGAGGCACGAAAGCGUGGGGAGCAAACAGG